GUGUCAGCCGCCGCGGUACUACGGAGGAUGCGAGCGUUAUCCGGAUUUAUUGGGUUUAAAGGGUGCGUAGGCGGAUUAAUAAGUCAGUGGUGAAAACCUGCAGCUUAACUGUAGAAUUGCCAUUGAUACUGUUAGUCUUGAGUACGGUCAAGGUAGGCGGAAUGUGUAAUGUAGCGGUGAAAUGCUUAGAUAUUACACAGAACACCGGUUGCGAAGGCAGCUUACUGGGCCAUUACUGACGCUGAUGCACGAAAGCGUGGGGAGCGAACAGGAUUAGAUACCCUGGUAGUCCACGCCGUAAACGAUGAUCACUCGCUGUUGGCGAUACACAGUCAGCGGCUAAGCAAAAGCAUUAAGUGAUCCACCUGGGGAGUACGGCCGCAAGGCUGAAACUCAAAUGAAUUGGCGGGG
rnacentral:rRNA from 1 species